AUGGCCGGCGCUGCAUCCGAGGCGAAUAAGGGCGAGAUGCACUCCAUACCUGUUGGCCUCGAGGCGAAUAAGGAAGGGAUGCAGCCCGUGGCCGGCGGUGCCAGCGUAGAUGAGGACAACGCCUGGAUGCAGUUCAUCUCCGACGGCGCCUGGUACACCAGCGCCGUCGCGCGAGAGGAUAACUCAUGGAUGCAGUUUAUCUCUGACGUCGCCUGGUGCACCAGAGUCGCCGUGGACAAGGAUGGUUCCUUCCUGCAGUUCAUCUUCGACGACGCUUGGUACCGCAGCGCUGGCGACGGACAGGGAACGACAGAGAAAAGUAAAGAAUAG
rnacentral:rRNA from 1 species